rnacentral:rRNA from 1 species
AUACGUAGGUGGCGAGCGUUGUCCGGAAUUACUGGGUGUAAAGGGCGUGUAGGCGGGGAGACAAGUCAGAUGUGAAAUACCGAGGCUUAACUUCGGGGCUGCAUCUGAAACUGUUUUUCUUGAGUGUCGGAGAGGAAAGCGGAAUUCCUAGUGUAGCGGUGAAAUAGGUAGAUAUUCGGAGGAACACCAGUGGCUAAGGCGGCUUUCUGGACGACAACUGUCGUUGAGGCGCGAAAGGGUGGGGAGCAAACAGUGUUAGAUACCCUGGUAGUCCACGCCGUAAACGAUGGAUACAAGGUGUAGGAGGUAUCGACCCCUUCUGUGCCGGAUUUAACAAAAUAAGUAUCCCACCUGGGGAGUACGGCCGCAAGGUUGAAACUCAAAUG